CUGUAUUCUUAACAUCCUUUAUGAACCAGAUCAACUUCAAUCUUCUGCAGAAAGCCCUCAAACAUUUCAGGAGUUUUACAACUCCAGUUUCUUCAGCUUUGGCCCUCUUGGGCCUUCGAACACAGACUGAAGACUGCGCUGUUGGCUUCACGACUUUGGAGGUUUUGGAACUCCAACUGGCUUCCUUGUUCUUCAGCUUGCAGACGGCCUACUGUGGGACGUCACCUUGAGAUCGUUGAUAUGGACAGGAGACGGAAAUACUGGGUAGAAAAGGGCAGUUCCCUGGCAAAGCCUCACCCUCAAGCCUGGAUACCUGCUGUCUUAAACGAAAACGAAAACAGGCAUUUCUGUGUUCAUGCUCCAAAAGUUAUCUUUUGGCCUGCCACACCCCCUAUCCUGCACCCAUAUGAAUCCCGAACCCCAGACUCCAGAAGCAGACCAGCAAGCCCGCAGACCAGCAGAAGGAUGGCAGAACGAUGUGGCAGAGAAAGGGAGAAGAGGAGGAACAUCUGAAUGCCAAAAUGAGUUCAGCUGGGGGCAGUCAGAGAGGAGUCCAGCCACUGGGCAGCCAGAAUCCAGGGGAGGAUCACCUUUCCACUUCAUCCCCUUCCUCUGCCUCCCCAUCCAUCCUGCUGAAAGCCACCUCCACCACUCAAUAAAACCUGCCAUUCAUCCUUGGAGUCCAUGUGUGACCUGAUUUUUCCAAGACACUGGACAAGAGCUCAGAUACAGAAAGCUAUCACCUUGGCCCUCUGCCCUUGUGAAAAGGCAGAGAGUUCAUUGAGCUGAUUAACACUCAAGCCAUCUGCAGACGGCAAAGCUGAAAGAGCAUUGUGGCUCACUCCUGCAAUCCCAGGACUUUGGGAGGCCAAGGCGGGUGGAUCACAAGGUCAGGAGUUCGAGACCAGCCUGGCCAACAUGGUGAAACCCCGUCUCUACUAAAAAUACAGAAAUUAGCUGGGCAUGGUGGUGUGCAAUCCCAGCUACUCGGGAGGCUGGCACAGGAGAAUUGCUUGAACCAGGGAGGCAGAAGUUGCAGUGGGCCGAGAUCACGCCACUGCACUCCAGCCUGGGUGACAGAGUGAGACACC
rnacentral:lncRNA from 1 species